rnacentral:rRNA from 1 species
UACGAAGGGGGCGAGCGUUGUUCGGAAUUACUGGGCGUAAAGGGCGCGUAGGCGGCCGAUCAAGUCAGAUGUGAAAUGCCCGGGCUUAACCUGGGAACUGCAUUUGUGACUGCAUGGCUAGAGUUUGGCAGAGGGGGGUAGAAUUCCACGUGUAGCAGUGAAAUGCGUAGAUAUGUGGAGGAACACCGAUGGCGAAGGCAGCCCCCUGGGUCAAGACUGACGCUCAUGCACGAAAGCGUGGGGAGCAAACAGG